UGGGGAAUAUUGCACAAUGGGCGAAAGCCUGAUGCAGCGACGCCGCGUGAGGGAUGAAGGCCUUCGGGUUGUAAACCUCUUUCAGCAGGGAAGAAGCGCAAGUGACGGUACCUGCAGAAGAAGCGCCGGCUAACUACGUGCCAGCAGCCGCGGUAAUACGUAGGGCGCAAGCGUUGUCCGGAAUUAUUGGGCGUAAAGAGCUCGUAGGCGGUUUGUCGCGUCUGGUGUGAAAACUCGAGGCUCAACCUCGAGCUUGCAUCGGGUACGGGCAGACUAGAGUGCGGUAGGGGAGACUGGAAUUCCUGGUGAAGCGGUGGAAUGCGCAGAUAUCAGGAGGAACACCGAUGGCGAAGGCAGGUCUCUGGGCCGCAACUGACGCUGAGGAGCGAAAGCAUGGGGAGCGAACA
rnacentral:rRNA from 1 species